rnacentral:lncRNA from 1 species
GUAGUACGGCCCAUGGGUCAUCGGAGGGGCCCACGAGCGGUGCAAGCCAGGCCCGACAGCACGUGCAGCAGUGUGGGCAUGCAUAGGCUAGCCAUGGGUGCACGGCCCAGGCAGGUGCGCAUGGGCUGGCCACGGACCUAGCCCAACGGGCGCGCACUAAGCCUACAUUCUCACGCAGUUCACAUGGAUCGACAGUCCACAGGUGAUGGAGCACGGUCCACAUUGCAGAUAGCCCAUUUCCCCCUCGAUUCUCAUGGUCCAUGGUGGA